AUGAACAUGGACGAGUUCAUGAGCAACAUAUGGAAUGUCGAGGAGUUCCAAGAGACUAUCGGCGGUGGUCCUGUGGGCAUGCAGGAGGCUCCUGCGGUGGGUGAUGGUGGAAGCGGAGGUGACGGGGAUGCAAGAGGAAGUGGCCUAUGCCGGCAGGGGUACUUCUCCUUGCCUCCUCCGCUGUGCCAGAAGACGAUGGAGGAGGUGUGGGAUGAGAUCAACAAGGAGCCCCGACCGGUGCAUGCCCAGCCUUACGUCGUGCGUUCCUCACCGCAGCUUCCUGUCCAGAGAAUGAUGGGGAAUGGAAGAAAGUCUUUUUGCGUGGUGAUGCUACGCCAUUGA
rnacentral:rRNA from 1 species